UACGGGGGGAGCAAACGUUGUUCGGAAUCACUGGGCGUAAAGGGCGCGUAGGUGGCGACCCAAGUCGAUGGUGAAAGCUCGCCGCUCAACGGCGAGUCGGCCACCGAUACUGGGUUGCUCGAGCACUGUAGAGGCUAAUGGAAUUCCGGGUGUAGCGGUGGAAUGCGUAGAGAUCCGGAAGAACACCGGUGGCGAAGGCGGUUAGCUGGGCAGUUGCUGACACUGAGGCGCGACAGCGUGGGGAGCAAACAGG
rnacentral:rRNA from 1 species